AAAUUGUUCUGCUCUAACGAAAGUGUCUUCCAGUCCUUCUCUUCCAUUACAUACUUCAUCAACUUCAUGGGACCAGUUUGUGGCUGAAGUACAAGGUAGCGAAAUAGGGUUCUCCACUCGUUCCCAAGCUUUACAGGUCUUAUCAACUUUGCGAAACCAGUUGGCAAACGGAGUACAGCAAGGCGAAGCGAACCAGUUGGUUCGACUUCGCGAAUCAACGGAACACGAUGUUCGCGGUGCUCCAGGGACUCUCUUCCUCGAGUCCGCGAGCAACCACAGCGACAGAUUUAUAAACGGUGUAUAUACGAGAACUCGACGAGAGCACGGAGCCUGCACCGAUCUAUGUACUCAAUAAGUCUUCGAGGGUCGAACCGAGAGGAUAGGCACGUCGACGACAUGUUAAAGUUCCCUCGUACGUUUCGCGAAGUAACGAAGAAAUUUAUGAAACGAAAUGCUUAUAUAUCAGCAGUAUAUUAAUCAGUUCGAAAGGAAGACCACCAUUUCAUACUUUGAAAUAAAAAGAAUCGAACGUUAACGUGCAAAGAAGAUAAUUUCACUUGUGACUCAUAUUCUCAAUCUCUUGGACAUAAUAAUUUAGACUAUGUCAUAUUUAUAUUUGGAGGAACGAAAAUCGAUCAAUCUGAAAUUGAUCUAUCCUCUGUAACUUUCAAUUUCAUGAUUACAGGAAUUUCUGGUCAAUUCCGCUGCGCUCUUUCGCUCAUUCUCGACCCAAUUACGUAUAUCUUUCUAAUCUUAAGGAAUAUCUUAACCUUGAGCAAACUAUGAC
rnacentral:misc_RNA from 1 species